UACGGAGGAUGCGAGCGUUAUCCGGAUUUAUUGGGUUUAAAGGGUGCGCAGGCGGUCUGUUAAGUCAGCGGUCAAAGCCCGGGGCUCAACCCCGGCCCGCCGUUGAAACUGGCUGUCUUGAGAUGUCGAGAGGUAUGCGGAAUGCGCAGUGUAGCGGUGAAAUGCUUAGAUAUUGCGCAGAACUCCGAUUGCGAAGGCAGCAUACCGGCGCCCAACUGACGCUGAGGCACGAAGGCCAGGGGAGCGAAAGGG
rnacentral:rRNA from 1 species